UACGUAGGGUGCGAGCGUUAAUCGGAAUUACUGGGCGUAAAGCGUGCGCAGGCGGUUUUGUAAGCCAGAUGUGAAAUCCCCCGGCUUAACCUGGGAACUGCGUCUGAUACUGGAAGGCUUGAGUAUGGGAGAGGGAUGUAGAAUUCCAGGUGUAGCGGUGAAAUGCGUAGAUAUCAGGAAGAACACCCGUGGCGAAGGCGGCUCUCUGGGACGGUACUGACGCUGAGACGCGAAAGCGUGGGGAGCGAACAGG
rnacentral:rRNA from 1 species